rnacentral:misc_RNA from 1 species
AUUUGACUAUAUUUAAAUUAAAUAACUGCAAUACUACAAUGAUUAAUUAAGAGCUAUUGUGGGGUUUCCUAAAGAGAAAGGAAAAGGAAAAGAACACGAAAAAUUCACACAUCGGUCAAUAUUAACGAGGAUACAAUCACAACAUAUGCCAGAAAAAAGAAAAGGGCUAUCUGAACGAAGAACUUCGGAUUUUCUCUCAUGUUCGGAGAUGUCACUGCCCUAGCAAUACGCUGAGAAAAACGUUGAAAGGGUAAACUCUGGAUAAAAACGAUGCCUGGUCCUGUUAGAGUUGCUGUUACCAAAUUGUCACCACCGAAGACUGCCCUUCUCAUGGGACCAUUGUAUUUGAUUUGUACAUUAACUGUGGUAUUAAGGGCCACAACGCAAGACAUGUCAACAGAUAGUACCUCACCCACCUCAAGAUUUUUCUGCAUAACAGAUCCUCCAGCAAGAAUAAAUGCAAGCCCCUGUCCGGAUAGCUUCUGUCUCAAAAAUCCCUCUGCACUAGCAAUGACAUUUCGUGCCCUCUGAUCAGCUGUAUUGCUUACCUUUACAUCAUUCACAGAGCAAAGGAAAGCAUCUGGCUGGCAUAAGAUCUCUCCACCAAACAUUGCCAAAUCAAUUGGGAGAAUUCUUGCAAGAGAAGGUGCAGCAAUUCCAACAAAUCCAUCACUUGGACCAGCAUUACGAAGGACUAUACUGGUGACAGUCUUCCCAAAAAGCCACUGCCACAGACCCACUUCAUUUUCAGGGAUGAAGAUGUUCUCCAUUUCUACAGAGCCAGACAUGAAGCACAUAGAACCUGGCUUUGCAAUAACCUUUUCUUGUGGUUUCAACAUUAUCUGAACCACUUGUGCCUCACCACCCAAAAUCUGGAAAGGUAUCACAGCAUCUUGCUGACUCUGAUAAACGUAAGGUUGAAACGGAGUGG